AUUGAACGCUGGCGGCAUGCUUUACACAUGCAAGUCGAACGGUAACAGGCCGCAAGGUGCUGACGAGUGGCGAACGGGUGAGUAAUGCAUCGGAACGUGCCCAGUCGUGGGGGAUAACUACUCGAAAGAGUAGCUAAUACCGCAUACGAUCUAUGGAUGAAAGCGGGGGACUGUAAGGCCUCGCGCGAUUGGAGCGGCCGAUGUCAGAUUAGGUAGUUGGUGGGGUAAAGGCUCACCAAGCCAACGAUCUGUAGCUGGUCUGAGAGGACGACCAGCCACACUGGGACUGAGACACGGCCCAGACUCCUGCGGGAGGCAGCAGUGGGGAAUGUUGGACAAUGGGCGCAAGCCUGAUCCAGCAAUGCCGCGUGCAGGAAGAAGGCCUGCGGGUUGUAAACUGCUUUUGUACGGAACGAAACGGCUCUGGUUAAUACCCGGGGCUAAUGACGGUACCGUAAGAAUAAGCACCGGCUAACUACGU
rnacentral:rRNA from 1 species